GACGAACGCUGGCGGCGUGCUUAACACAUGCAAGUCGAACGGUGAAGGGACCGGUUUUUGCUGGUUCUGGAUGAGUGGCGAACGGGUGAGUAACACGUGAGUAACCUGCCCCCUUCUUCUGGAUAACCGCAUGAAAGUGUGGCUAAUACGGGAUAUUCUGCGCCUGCUGCAUGGUGGGUGUGGGAAAGAUAUUGUUUCGGUGGGGGAUGGGCUCGCGGCCUAUCAGCUUGUUGGUGGGGUGAUGGCCUACCAAGGCGGUGACGGGUAGCCGGCCUGAGAGGGUGGACGGUCACACGGGGGCUGAGACACGGCCCAGACUCCGACGGGAGGCAGCAGUGGGGAAUAUUGCACAAUGGGCGCAAGGCUGAUGCAGCGACGCCGCGGGAGGGAUGGAAGCCUUCGGGUUGUAAACCUCUUUCGCCAGUGAAGCAGGCCUGUCCCUUUUGUGGGUGGGUUGACGGUAGCUGGAUAAGAAGCGCCGGCUAACUACGUG
rnacentral:rRNA from 1 species